rnacentral:rRNA from 1 species
GAUUGAACGCUGGCGGCAUGCCUAACACAUGCAAGUCGAACGGUAACAGGUCUUCGGAUGCUGACGAGUGGCGGACGGGUGAGUAAUGCGUAGGAAUCUGUCUUUUAGUGGGGGACAACCCAGGGAAACUUGGGCUAAUACCGCAUGAGCCCUGAGGGGGAAAGGGGGGAUCUUCGGACCUCGCGCUAAGGGAAGAGCCUACGUCUGAUUAGCUAGUUGGUAGGGUAAAGGCCUACCAAGGCGACGAUCAGUAGCUGGUCUGAGAGGACGACCAGCCACACUGGGACUGAGACACGGCCCAGACUCCUACGGGAGGCAGCAGUGGGGAAUUUUUCGCAAUGGGGGCAACCCUGACGAAGCAAUGCCGCGUGGAUGAAGAAGGCCUUCGGGUUGUAAAGUCCUUUCGUGGGGGACGAAAAGGCGGGUCCUAAUACGAUCUGCUGUUGACGUGAACCCAAGAAGAAGCACCGGCUAACUCCGUGCCAGCAGCCGCGGUAAUACGGGGGGUGCAAGCGUUAA